GAUGAACGCUGGCGGCGUGCUUAACACAUGCAAGUCGAACGGAAAGGCCCAAGCUUGCUUGGGUACUCGAGUGGCGAACGGGUGAGUAACACGUGGGUGAUCUGCCCUGCACUUCGGGAUAAGCCUGGGAAACUGGGUCUAAUACCGGAUAGGACCACAUUUUGGAUGGUGUGGUGGAAAGUUUUUCGGUGUGGGAUGAGCUCGCGGCCUAUCGGCUUGUUGGUGGGGUAAUGGCCUACCGAGGCGUCGACGGGUAGCCGGCCUGAGAGGGUGUACGGCCACACUGGGACUGAGAGACGGCCCAGACUCCUACGGGAGGGAGCAGUGGGGAAGAUUGCACAAUGGGCGCAAGCCUGAUGCAGCGACGCCGCGGGGCGGAUGACGGCCUUCGGGUUGUAAAAUCCAUUCGCUAGGGACGAAGCGUUAUGUGACGGUACCUGGAGAAGAAGCACCGGCUAACUACGUG
rnacentral:rRNA from 1 species